GGUCUAAGUCCCUUGGAACGGGGCGUCAUAGAGGGUGAGAAUCCCGUAUGCGACCGGCGACCGAGCCCAUGUGAAACCCCUUCGACGAGUCGAGUUGUUUGGGAAUGCAGCUCAAAACGGGUGGUAAAUUCCAUCUAAAGCUAAAUACCGGCCAGAGACCGAUAGCGCACAAGUAGAGUGAUCGAAAGAUGAAAAGCACUUUGGAAAGAGAGUCAAACAGUACGUGAAAUUGUUGAAAGGGAAGCGCUUGCAACCAGACCUGCCCGCGGGCGAUCAGCCGUCCCUCUGGGCGGUGCACUCGCCCGCGAUCAGGCCAGCAUCGGUUCGGGCGGUCGGAUAAAGGCCUCGGGAACGUGGCUCCCCUCGGGGAGUGUUAUAGCCCUUGGUGCAAUGCGGCCUGCCCGGACCGAGGACCGCGCUUCGGCUAGGAUGCUGGCGUAAUGGUUGUAAGCGGCCCGUCUUGAAACACGGACCAAGGAGUCGACCAACUAUGCGAGUGUUUGGGCGUCAAACCCACACGCGCAAUGAAAGUGAACGGAGGUGGGAACCCCUCGCGGGGCGCACCAUCGACCGAUCCAGAUGUCUUCGGAUGGAUUUGAGUACGAGCAUAGCUGGUCGGACCCGAAAGAUGGUGAACUAUGCCUGAAUAGGGUGAAGCCAGAGGAAACUCUGGUGGAGGCUCGCAGCGGUUCUGACGUGCAAAUCGAUCGUCAAAUUUGGGCAUAGGGGCGAAAGACUAAUCGAACCAUC
rnacentral:rRNA from 1 species